UCCGUCGUGGUGUAGUGGCUAGCAUUUGAGACUCUCAUGUUCAUUCUAUGUGGACUCUCAGAACCCGGGUUCAAUUCCCGGCGACGGAA